CUGGAGAUCUCUACUUAUUCUACACUUCAUCUGCAACAGAAGAGCGAACCUGCUGUCUCUGCAUCUCAGCUCAAUGCUUCAUCUAUUGGAUGUUUCGAUAAGAUGGAACCAGCAGACAAAGAAGUGGCAGGUGAGGGGUAUGAAAUGUUAAACCCCAAGUCAGUGCAGAAUGUGCUUUAUUCUACACUUCAUCGCGAACAGUGAGAUGCCGCUAUUUUAUCCCCUUCUGAGCUCGAUCCUUAAAUGUCCUUAAAUGAAGAGUUUGGAGGAAAAGUGUUUCAGAGAUUGAGUUCAGUAUGUGGGCCCCUGAACCACAGGAAAGAAGACACAGAGAUGAUGGAGAAAUGUUUAAGAAAUUUGAAAAUAUACAGA